AAAUUUUAGGAGUACCUAAGUGUGAUGAUUUGGUUUUCACAUUCGUGUGAGCUGUGCCUGCCUUUUGUUACAAGGGCAUAUUACCCUUUGCUGUGAAA
rnacentral:snoRNA from 1 species